rnacentral:rRNA from 1 species
AACCCGCCCACAUGAAGUUGGAGUCGCUAGUAAUCGCGGAUCAGCAUGCCGCGGUGAAUACGUUCCCGGGCCUUGUACACACCGCCCGUCACACCAUGGGAGUUGGGAGCGCCCGAAGCCGGUGAGGUAACCGAGAGGAGCCAGCCGUCGAAGGUGAGACCAAUGACUGGGGUGAAGUCGUAACAAGGUAUC